rnacentral:rRNA from 1 species
UACGGGGGGAGCAAGCGUUGUUCGGAUUUACUGGGCGUAAAGGGCGCGUAGGCGGCCAGCGCAAGUCAGUUGUGAAAUCUCCGGGCUUAACUCGGAACGGUCAACUGAUACUGCGCGGCUAGAGUGCGGAAGGGGCAACUGGAAUUCUCGGUGUAGCGGUGAAAUGCGUAGAUAUCGAGAGGAACACCUGCGGCGAAGGCGGCUCGCUGGACCGGUUCUGACGCUGAGGCGCGAAAGCGUGGGGAGCAAACGGG